GAAUCAUGCCCUGGGCCAAAGGCAGAUGCUCAACCACUGAGCCACCCAGGCGUCCCGAGAGAACUGGAACCUCAGACCCGAAGUACCUUCUGGACGAUUUAGCCCACCCCCUGCAUUGCACACUUGAGCACAUGUGCCCGGACACGUUGACGGCUGUGCCUGAGACCGCGCAGUUAUGGUUCUCCUGUGAAAACCAGAAGACAACCAUGAAGGAGUAACACAGUCCUUAAUCCAGUAGGCACCAAGGGACCAACCCCUACUGCAACCAUGAAGAAUCUUGACUCUAGGUGCAAGCGAUGAGGCAGUGAAAGAGCAUGAGCAUGUCAUGAAGUCAGGGGUUCUCGUACGUUUUAUUCACUGCCACUUCCCCGGCAUCUAGUACAGAGCUCAGCACCAGUCGCCCGAAACCACUUGUUGCACAACAUGGACUGUUCGCAUGAUUUAAAGGGAAGAAUUUUGAGUUUCCAGGUCAUCCCAAGAGAGAGAAGGUUUGGAUGACCAGAAAAUGAAAGACGAGUGACGAAGAGCUUUGGCGACCCUAAAUGACAAGAUAAAGCCCAGAAUUGCCAUGAUGUCAUCGGCAUUGUCUGCCGGGGCGGGUUGGGGUGGGGGGCGUCCAGACCGGCUGACUGUGGAUCACUGGCUCCAGGAAGGGGGUGCCCGUGGACAUCUUGGUGUCACCCACACCCUGCAGCUCAUAGACACACGCCCUCUUCCUGGCGCCAGGACGAACCCCACUCAGAGAUGUAUCCCCAGGGGGAUAAAAUGACACAAGGGCCUCAUGGCAGGGAGUUGCACGACCGCGUCCCCAGGCCGGGCCAGCCGGUGUCUGUCUGCCAGAUGUGCAAAGGCAGGAAAUUAGCCCAAACUCUGACUAAACAUCUCUACUCUUGGCCGUAUUAGUAAUUGGCUACGGUUUUCUAGGAUUGGACACAUACGUGAAAAGUCCCAUAGUCCCCGACACCAAUGACACAGACAGUAGGCUCCAGCCCCACUCCUAUCACAGGCUCAGCGUUUCUGGGUGCUUCUCGGGUGGCAGCACUGGCCAGGGCCCAAAGGAUGCAGCCUGACGCGGACGGGCAGGGCCAGGAUGCACCGGCGCCCGCGGCCUCACUCUGGGGCCCGGCCCAGCCUGAGAAGCCCAAUCACCCCUGAGAAAGAAUUUUCUUUUCUCUCACUUGGUAGGUAGCUCAUGGGUCAGAGUUGUCCUCAGACAGCAGCAGCCAGGGCCCCUGCCUCAGGUCCUGCAACUUCAUGCAUUUAUGAGACAAAUAUUAAACAAAUGGCUAAUAUACGCUCUACAUUAGAUGCUAGGAAGACGGUAGUGAACGAAACAGAAUUUGAAUUUCCCUUUCUUCGUGGAACUUGCAUGGGCGGGGAGGGGACAGACAAGAAGCAAUCAAUAACUAGCCUGUGAGGUGUGUUAGCAGGUGAUAGAUGGUGUGGACACGAGCAGGAUGGGCGGGGAGUGAGGGCAGGCUCGCGGGAAGGUCCCACCUGCAAUGACAGCAGGUGAGCGUCAGGAGAGGAGCAUUCUAGGCACGGGGAGCAGCCGGGGCAAAGACUGAUGCCCUGGCCUCCGCCGGUGUGUUCAGGAAACAUAGGGACCAGUGGAGGCCAGCGAGGCAGGGAAGUGGUAAUUAGGAAGGCCCGUGGGCCGGUGCGGAGCAGUCCUGGCAGGUAAUCACAGGAGGACAGCGGCUCCAAACCGGCUGGUAGCUAGGGCUGGCUUGGGUUUGGGGCUCCCUGAGGCCUUUGUAGUUUCAAGAUGCCUUCUUUAAGAAAAAAAUAAAAUUACAAAUAUGAAAUUGAAGCCCAGGGUUUUGGAAAUGCAAGCAAGGGGCCUUGAAGCCGAACUUCCGUAGCUUCCUGCUGGUGGAGCAGAGGAUCUGGGGCCUGGGCUUGGGAUCGCCCCAGAGUACCCCACUCACCCCAAGGCAGCAUCCCUCCUUCCCUCCUUCCCUCCCUCCUACAGUGCUGCCCUCCUGCGACUUUCUUCCUGUUCCAGACUUACUGGACUUCCAUCUCAGCCGGGGGUUGCCCAGAUAGAAGUAGAAACAGAGAGGAGUUGAGUCCACAGUGUGUCCCAGCCUGGCCAGCCCACAGGGACCACCAACCCCGACAGUGAGGGGAGGCACCUAAGUCCCUCCUCGGAGGGGAAAGACAGGAAUAAUUUCUCCAAAGGGAGCACUUCUCUGAUUUUAGUGGUUCUGCUCCCAUUCAGGAAGACAGAUUAGGAGGGCAAGGCACACACCAUGAAAGGA